GCAACCGGCUUGGGUCCCUUUCCAGUUUGUGGAAACUUUGUUGUUUAGCCCUUUGCAAUAAAUCUUGCUGUUUCUCACUUUUUGGGCCCCUGCUGCCUUUAUGAACUGUAGUACUCACUGCGAAGGUCUGCAGCUUUAGUCGUGAAGCCAUCGAGACCACGAACUCAUCGAAAGGAAUGAAAAACUGCUGACGGGCCGCCUUUAAGAGCUGUAACACCGCGAACGUCUGCAGCUUCAUUCCUGAAGUCAGCGAGACCAUGAACCCACCGAAAGGAAGAAAGUCCAGACACAUCUGAACAUCGGAAGGAACAAACUGCAGACACACCAUCUUUAAGAGCUGUAAUACUCACUCUGAAGUCUUCGUACUCAGGCACCAGUUUCUCCAGUUCUUUAAUGUUUAACUUAUGACUUCUUCAUAAUUAUAGUAAAGGAAAAGAGAAAAAGAAAAAAAUGAAGCAGGGAGCGAAAGGUGCUGGCUUUUUAAAUCCCCCAAAGUCACUUGAGCUGGAGGAGUUUGCAACAACUGAGG